ACGGUGUCCGCCGUAUAAAAAGGGGACAUCGUUAAAGGGAAGCAGGUGAAAUGCCUGCGCGAUCUCGUCACUGUAUGCGGAUGCUGCCGGAAGGCUGAAAGGCCGCCACUGAAGCGUAAGCUUUGGGAAGGAAGAGGCAGGGAACAACAUCCGCAAGCCAGGAAACCUGCCGUCUGU
rnacentral:ncRNA from 1 species